rnacentral:rRNA from 1 species
CAGUAGCCGCGGGAAUACGUAGGGUCCGAGCGUUGUCCGGAAUUAUUGGGCGUAAAGAGCUCGUAGGCGGUUUGUCGCGUCUGCUGUGAAAUCCCGAGGCUCAACCUCGGGCUUGCAGUGGGUACGGGCAGACUAGAGUGCGGUAGGGGAGAUUGGAAUUCCUGGUGUAGCGGUGGAAUGCGCAGAUAUCAGGAGGAACACCGAUGGCGAAGGCAGAUCUCUGGGCCGUAACUGACGCUGAGGAGCGAAAGCGUGGGGAGCGAACAGGAUUAGAGACCCCAGUAGUCCCUGUCUCUUAUAC